AGAGUUUGAUCAUGGCUCAGAGCGAACGCUGGCGGCAGGCCUAAUACAUGCAAGUCGAACGGCUCUUCGGAGCAGUGGCGGACGGGUGAGUAACGCGUGGGAACGUGCCCUUUGGUUCGGAACAACACAGGGAAACUUGUGCUAAUACCGAAUGUGCCCUUCGGGGGAAAGAUUUAUCGCCAUUGGAGCGGCCCGCGUUGGAUUAGCUAGUUGGUGGGGUAAAGGCCCACCAAGGCUACGAUCCAUAGCUGGUCUGAGAGGAUGAUCAGCCACACUGGGACUGAGACACGGCCCAGACUCCUACGGGAGGCAGCAGUAGGGAAUCUUGCGCAAUGGGCGAAAGCCUGACGCAGCCAUGCCGCGUGAAUGAUGAAGGUCUUAGGAUUGUAAAAUUCUUUCACCGGGGAAGAUAAUGACGGUACCCGGAGAAGAAGCCCCGGCUAACUUCGUGCCAGCAGCCGCGGUAAUACGAAGGGGCUAGCGUUGCUCGGAAUUACUGGGCGUAAAGGGCGCGUAGGCGGACAUUUAAGUCAGAGGUGAAAGCCCAGGGCUCAACCUUGGAAUUGCCUUUGAUACUGGAUGUCUUGAGUUCGGGAGAGGUGAGUGGAAUGCCGAGUGUAGAGGUGAAAUUCGUAGAUAUUCGGCGGAACACCAGUGGCGAAGGCGACUCACUGGCCCGAUACUGACGCUGAGGCGCGAAAGCGUGGGGAGCAAACAGGAUUAGAUACCCCGGUAGUCCAA
rnacentral:rRNA from 1 species